rnacentral:rRNA from 1 species
GUAGGGAAUAUUGGACAAUGGGGGCAACCCUGAUCCAGCGACGCCGCGUGAGUGAUGAAGGCCUUCGGGUCGUAAAGCUCUGUUGCAGGGGAAGAACACAAUGACGGUACCCUGCUAGAAAGGAUCGGCUAACUUCGUGCCAGCAGCCGCGGUAAGACGAGGGAUCCUAGCGUUGUUCGGAAUUAUUGGGCGUAAAGCGGGUGCAGGUGGCUUGGUAAGUCAGAUGUGAAAGCCUGGGGCUUAACCCCAGAAGUGCAUUUGAUACUGCUGAGCUUGAGUGCUGGAGAGGCUAUUAGAAUUCCUGGUGUAGUGGUGAAAUACGUAGAUAUCAGGAGGAAUACCGGAGGCGAAGGCGGAUAGCUGGCCAGACACUGACACUCAGACCCGAAAGCGUGGGGAUCAAACAGGAUUAGAUACCCUAGUAGUCC